AUUGAACGCUGGCGGCAGGCCUAACACAUGCAAGUCGAGCGGUAGAGAGGUGCUUGCAUCUCUUGAGAGCGGCGGACGGGUGAGUAAUGCCUAGGAAUCUGCCUGGUGGUGGGGGAUAACGUUCGGAAACGGACGCUAAUACCGCAUACGUCCUACGGGAGAAAGCGGGGGGAUCUUCGGACCUCGCGCCAUUAGAUGAGCCUAGGUCGGAUUAGCUAGUUGGUGAGGUAAUGGCUCACCAAGGCGACGAUCCGUAACUGGUCUGAGAGGAUGAUCAGUCACACUGGAACUGAGACACGGUCCAGACUCCUACGGGAGGCAGCAGUGGGGAAUAUUGGACAAUGGGCGAAAGCCUGAUCCAGCCAUGCCGCGUGUGUGAAGAAGGUCUUCGGAUUGUAAAGCACUUUAAGUUGGGAGGAAGGGUAGUAACCUAAUACGUUGCUACUUUGACGUUACCGACAGAAUAAGCACCGGCUAACUUCGUG
rnacentral:rRNA from 1 species